rnacentral:lncRNA from 1 species
AUUUUAUAAAAGGGAUUAGCAUAGAAUAAAUAAAAUAAACAUAAACCCCUUUUUUUAUCUUUCUUCUAUCAAGGAAACAGAGCACUCUGUUUUCCUUGAAUCUUCUCCCGUGGCCUCUCCUCCUUCGUCGCACGGCUAAGAGGAAAGAUCGGAAGAGGGAGCUUUGCUGGUAGAUCCUCCCGUGGCCUCUUCCUCCUUCCUCCCUCUCUCGCUCGAACUUGGAUGGAUCCGUCCGGCUAGCUGGUUUGUUCCGUCCGGCUGGGAAUAAUGCCGAUAGAUCCUCCUCCUCUUCUUCUCCCGUGUAGGAAUGAAUCCCCUCCUCCCCUUCUUUCCGUCGGCUGCUGCUCCUCUUAUAGCAUGUUCUUGAGAUGCGGGAUGAAGUUGAAUCGCUUGAGACUCUUCAGCUGGGAACGUUGCAGAAAUUUGAGAAUUGAUGAGCCACGGGGUGGAAUGAUCCG